UACGAAGGGGGCUAGAGUUGUUCGGAAUCACUGGGCGUAAAGCGCACGUAGGCGGAUUUGUUAGUCAGGGGUGAAAUCCCGGGGUUCAACCUCGGUACUGCCUAUGAUACUGCAGAUCUCGAGUCCUGAAGAGGUGAGUGGAAUUCCUAGUGUAGAGGUGAAAUCCGUAGAUAUUAGGAAGAACACGAGUGGCGGAUGCGGCUCACUGUUCCGGUACUGACACUGAGUUGUGAAAGCGUGUGGAGCAAACAGG
rnacentral:rRNA from 1 species